rnacentral:tRNA from 1 species
GGGGGUGUAGCUCAGCUGGUUAGAGCGCCUGCCUGUCACGCAGGAGGUCGCGGGUUCGAGUCCCGUCACUCCCG